GGGUGAGUAGCUCCAAUUGGUAGAGCAGCGGUCUCCAAAACCGCUUGUUGCAGGUUCGAGCCCUGCCUCACUCG
rnacentral:tRNA from 1 species